UACAGGGGGGGGCUAGCGUUGCUCGGAAUUACUGGGCGUAAAGGGAGCGUAGGCGGACAUUUAAGUCAGAGGUGAAAUCCCGGAGCUUUAACUUCGGAACUGCCUUUGAUACUGGGUGUCUUGAGUGUGAGAGAGGUAUGUGGAACUCCGAGUGUAGAGGUGAAAUUCGUAGAUAUUCGGAAGAAACACCAGUGGCGAAGGCGACAUACUGGCUCAUUACUGACGC
rnacentral:rRNA from 1 species